GUUGGGUUAAGUCCCGCAACGAGCGCAACCCUUGUCAUUAGUUGCUACAUUUAGUUGGGCACUCUUAUGAGAACUGCCGGUGACAAACCGGAGGGAAGGUGGGGAUGACGUCAAGUCCUCAUGGCCCUUAUGGGUAGGGCUACACACCUCAUACAAUGGCUGGUACAAAGGGUUGCCAACCCGCGAGGGGGAGCUAAUCCCAUAAAGCCAGUCGUCGUCCGGAUCGUAGUCUGCAACUCGACUGCGUGAAGUCGGAAUCGCUAGUAAUCGUGGAUCAGAAUGUCACGGUGAAUACGUUCCCGGGUCUU
rnacentral:rRNA from 1 species